rnacentral:lncRNA from 1 species
CAUGCCCUUAUGUUUCAUGCAAAUCAAGGUUUUAUGUGAAUAUUUUCCAUACUAAUAAGGCCCUUGAUGCCCUCCUUUGGGUUGGAUGAGGAUGGUUUAAAUUUAAGUUCAAAUCUGAUUUGAAUUUAAGUUUAAACUCCAUUCUUAUCUUAAUGAGAUUUGAUCUCAUCUUAACUCCCUUUGCAUGCCAUUAAAAAAGUAGUUUUAUUUUGGGUGUGCAUGAGAUAUCUGAAAGACAUUGAAGGAGGAUUUUCACCAUGACUGAUCUAAAAAGGGGUAUGGGAAAAUUGAGGGGCAUGUCUUCUUUUGGGGGACAUACCUAGGG